AACGCAUAUUGCGCCCUUUGGCAUUCCGAAGGGCAUGUCUGUUCGAGCGUCAUUAUCAACCAUCAAGCCUGGCUUGUCGUUGGACUUUUUUUUUUGCGGCUGAAAUAUAGCUGUAGGUCCGAAAGAUAAUGACGGUGUCGUGUUUGACCCCUAGAUGCAACGAGCUUUUUUAAUAGCACGCAUUGAAGUGGUCGAUCGACCCGGUCUUAACCAUUAAUUUUUCUCAAGGUUGACCUCGGAUCAGAUAGGAAUACCCGCUGAACUUAA
rnacentral:misc_RNA from 1 species